GACGAACGCUGGCGGCGUGCUUAACACAUGCAAGUCGAACGGAAAGGCCCUGCUUUUGUGGGGUGCUCGAGUGGCGAACGGGUGAGUAGCACGUGAGUAACCUGCCCUUGACUUUGGGAUAACUUCAGGAAACUGGGGCUAAUACCGGAUAGGAGCUCCUGCUGCAUGGUGGGGUUGGAAAGUUUCGGCGGUUGGGGAUGGACUCGCGGCUUAUCAGCUUGUUGGUGGGGUAGUGGCUUACCAAGGCUUUGACGGGUAGCCGGCCUGAGAGGGUGACCGGCCACAUUGGGACUGAGAUACGGCCCAGACUCCUACGGGAGGCAGCAGUGGGGAAUAUUGCACAAUGGGCGGAAGCCUGAUGCAGCAACGCCGCGUGCGGGAUGACGGCCUUCGGGUUGUAAACCGCUUUCGCCUGUGACGAAGCGUGAGUGACGGUAAUGGGUAAAGAAGCACCGGCUAACUACGUG
rnacentral:rRNA from 1 species